GAGUAACGCGUGGGAACGUGCCCUUUGGUACGGAACAACUGAAGGAAUCUUCAGCUAAUACCGUAUGUGCCCUUCGGGGGAAAGAUUUAUCGCCAUUGGAGCGGCCCGCGUUAGAUUAGCUAGUUGGUAGGGUAAUGGCCUACCAAGGCGACGAUCUAUAGCUGGUCUGAGAGGAUGAUCAGCCACACUGGGACUGAGACACGGCCCAGACUCCUACGGGAGGCAGCAGUAGGGAAUCUUGCGCAAUGGGCGAAAGCCUGACGCAGCCAUGCCGCGUGAAUGAUGAAGGUCUUAGGAUUGUAAAAUUCUUUCACCGGGGACGAUAAUGACGGUACCCGGAGAAGAAGCCCCGGCUAACUUCGUGCCAGCAGCCGCGGUAAUACGAAGGGGGCUAGCGUUGCUCGGAAUUACUGGGCGUAAAGGGAGCGUAGGCGGAUAGUUUAGUCAGA
rnacentral:rRNA from 1 species